rnacentral:rRNA from 1 species
UACGUAGGGUGCAAGCGUUGUCCGGAAUUAUUGGGCGUAAAGAGCUUGUAGGCGGUUUGUCGCGUCUGCUGUGAAAUUUCGGGGCUCAACCCCGAACUUGCAGUGGGUACGGGCAGACUAGAGUGUGGUAGGGGAGACUGGAAUUCCUGGUGUAGCGGUGAAAUGCGCAGAUAUCAGGAGGAACACCGAUGGCGAAGGCAGGUCUCUGGGCCACUACUGACGCUGAGAAGCGAAAGCGUGGGGGAGCGAAACAGG